UACGUAUGGGGCGAGCGUUGUUCGGAAUCAUUGGGCGUAAAGGGCGUGUAGGCGGUUUUGUAAGCCCGGUGUAAAAGGUAUUGGCUUAACCAAUAUUUUGCGCUGGGUACUGCAAGACUAGAGUCCUGGAGAGGAAGCUGGAAUUCCUGGUGUAGGGGUGAAAUCUGUAGAUAUCAGGAAGAACACCGAUGGCGGAGGCAAGCUUCUAGCCAUGGACUGACGCUGAGGCGCGAAAGCGUGGGGAG
rnacentral:rRNA from 1 species